rnacentral:tRNA from 1 species
GGUGGCUCAGUGGUACAGCACUUGCCUUGCAUGCCUGAGGCCCUGGGUUCGAUUCCCAGCACCA